GCAAGUCGAGCGGUAACAGAAAUUAGCUUGCUACUUUGCUGACGAGCGGCGGACGGGUGCGUACUGCUUAGGAACAUGCCUUGAGGUGGGGGACAACAGUUGAAAACGACUGCUAAUAAGCCUAAUAUCUACUGAUCACAGGGGGCUUCUGCUCUCGCCUUUAGAUUGGCCUAAGUGGGAUUAGCUAGUUGGUGAGGUAAUGGCUCACCAAGGCGACGAUCCCUAGCUGGUUUGAGAGGAUGAUC
rnacentral:rRNA from 1 species